rnacentral:rRNA from 1 species
UCCGUAGGCGGGCAGCUAAGUCAGUGGUGAAAGUCUGCGGCUCAACUGUAGAAUUGCCAUUGAUACUGGUUGUCUUGAAUUAUUAUGAAGUGGUUAGAAUAUGUAGUGUAGCGGUGAAAUGCAUAGAUAUUACAUAGAAUACCAAUUGCGAAGGCAGAUCACUAAUAAUAUAUUGACGCUGAUGGACGAAAGCGUGGGGAGCGAACAGGAUUAGAUACCCUGGUAGUCC